GGUGAGGUGUCCGAGUGGCUGAAGGAGCACGCCUGUGGAAAGUGUGUAUACGGCAACGUAUCGGGGGUUCGAAUCCCCCCCUCACCGCCA
rnacentral:tRNA from 1 species